rnacentral:rRNA from 1 species
ACCAAGGCGAUGACGGGUAGCGGACCUGAGAGGGCGACCGGCCACACUGGGACUGAGACACGGCCCAGAUUCUUACGGGAGGCAGCAGUGGGGAAUAUUGCACAAUGGGCGGAAGCCUGAUGCAGCGACGCCGCGUGAGGGAUGACGGCCUUCGGGUUGUAAACCUCUUUCGACAGGGACGAAGCGCAAGUGACGGUACCUGUAGAAGAAGCACCGGCCAACUACGUGCCAGCAGCCGCGGUAAUACGUAGGGUGCGAGCGUUGUCCGGAAUUACUGGGCGUAAAGAGCUUGUAGGCGGUUCGUCGCGUCGAUUGUGAAAACUUGCAGCUCAACUGCAAGCUUGCAGUCGAUACGGGCGGACUAGAGUACUUCAGGGGAGACUGGAAUUCCUGGUGUAGCGGUGAAAUGCGCAGAUAUCAGGAGGAACACCGGUGGCGAAGGCGGGUCUCUGGGAAGUAACUGACGCUGAGAAGCGAAAGCGUGGGUAGCGAACAGGAUUAGAUACCCUGGUAGUCCACGCCGUAAAACGGUGGGUACUAGGUGUGGGUUUCCUUCCACGGGAUCCGUGCCGUAGCUAACGCAUUAAGUACCCCGCCUGGGGAGUACGGCCGCAAGGCUAAAACUCAAAGGAAUUGACGGGGGCCCGCACAAGCGGCGGAGCAUGUGGAUUAAUUCGAUGCAACGCGAAGAACCUUACCUGGGUUUGACAUACACCAGAAAGCCGUAGAGAUACGGCCCCCCUUGUGGUUGGUGUACAGGUGGUGCAUGGCUGUCGUCAGCUCGUGUCGUGAGAUGUUGGGUUAAGUCCCGCAACGAGCGCAACCCUUAUCUUAUGUUGCCAGCGCGUAAUGGCGGGGACUCGUGAGAGACUGCCGGGGUCAACUCGGAGGAAGGUGGGGACGACGUCAAGUCAUCAUGCCCCUUAUGUCCAGGGCUUCACACAUGCUACAAUGGCCGGUACAGAGGGCUGCGAUACCGUGAGGUGGAGCGAAUCCCUUAAAGCCGGUCUCAGUUCGGAUCGGGGUCUGCAACUCGACCCCGUGAAGUUGGAGUCGCUAGUAAUCGCAGAUCAGCAACGCUGCGGUGAAUACGUUCCCGGGCCUUGUACACACCGCCCGUCACGUCAUGA